GACGAACGCUGGCGGCGUGCUUAACACAUGCAAGUCGAACGGAAAGGCCCUGCUUUUGUGGGGUGCUCGAGUGGCGAACGGGUGAGUAACACGUGAGUAACCUGCCCUUGACUUUGGGAUAACUUCAGGAAACUGGGGCUAAUACCGGAUAGGAGCUCCUGCUGCAUGGUGGGGGUUGGAAAGUUUCGGCGGUUGGGGAUGGACUCGCGGCUUAUCAGCUUGUUGGUGGGGUAGUGGCUUACCAAGGCUUUGACGGGUAGCCGGCCUGAGAGGGUGACCGGCCACAUUGGGACCUAGAUACCGCCCAGACUCCUACGGGAGGCAGCAGUUGGGAAUAUUGCACCAUGGGCGGAAGCCUUAAUGAGCCACGCCGCGUGCGGGAUUGCGGCCUUCGGGGUGUAAACCGCUUUCGCCUGUGACGAAGCGUGAGUGACGGUAAUGGGUAAAGAAGCACCGGCUAACUACGUG
rnacentral:rRNA from 1 species